rnacentral:rRNA from 1 species
CGGACGGGUGAGUAAUGUCUGGGAAACUGCCUGAUGGAGGGGGAUAACUACUGGGAACGGUAGCUAAUACCGCAUAACGUCGCAAGACCAAAGAGGGGGACCUUAGGGCCUCUUGCCAUCGGAUGUGCCCAGAUGGGAUUAGCUAGUAGGUGGGGUAGCGGCUCACCUAGGCGACGAUCCCUAGCUGGUCUGAGAGGAUGACCAGCCACACUGGAACUGAGACACGGUCCAG